rnacentral:rRNA from 1 species
UACGGAGGGGGCUAGCGUUGUUCGGAAUUACUGGGCGUAAAGCGCACGUAGGCGGACCAGAAAGUUGGGAGUGAAAUCCCGGGGCUCAACCUCGGAACUGCCUUCAAAACUAUUGAUCUGGAGUUCGAGAGAGGUGAGUGGAAUUCCGAGUGUAGAGGUGAAAUUCGUAGAUAUUCGGAGGAACACCAGUGGCGAAGGCGGCUCACUGGCUCGAUACUGACGCUGAGGUGCGAAAGCGUGGGGAGCAAACAGG